AAAAAAAACUUGAGAAAAAAAGGAAUAGGAAGCACACAAAGAAAAGGCUAAAAAAGUUUUUUUUUUUUUUUUUUUUUUUUUUAUU
rnacentral:ribozyme from 1 species